UUCUUUUCCCUUACUAUGUUUGAACUAGAACCCAAUAUAUGUAGCAUAGGGAGAAAAAACAACAUCAUGUCAUCAUCAUCAUCAUCUCUCCUCUGUCUAAGGUGAUCUCUUAGUGCCACAUCCAUUGCUAACUAAAACGAAAUUCAUGACAGAAAAUAAACACCAACAAAAAUAGAACAUGGUGUAAUAAAGAACAUUUAGAAUAUAACAAGUACCUAAAGGAGAGGAUAUAGGGUCCCAAGACGGUGGAAGUUCGUCUUCUCCAACUCGAACUGGUGCAGGG
rnacentral:lncRNA from 1 species